AGCGAACGUUGGCGGCGCGCCUAACACAUGCAAGUCGAACGCGAAAGAUCUUCGGAUCGAGUAGCGUGGCGCACGGGUGAGUAACACGUGAUUAACCUACCCUUUGGUCUGGGAUAACAUGCCGAAAGGCGUGCUAAUACUGGAUGAGACCACGGCCCCUGCGGGGGCUGCGAGAAAAGCGGGGGAGCGAAAGCGCCUCGCGCCGAAGGAUGGGGUCGCGGCCUAUCAGCUAGUUGGCGGGGUAACAGCCCACCAAGGCGAUGACGGGUAGCUGGUCUUGAGAGGAUGAUCAGCCACACUGGAACUGAGACACGGUCCAGACUCCUACGGGAGGCAGCAGUGGGGAAUUUUGGACAAUGGGCGAAAGCCUGAUCCAGCGACGCCGCGUGUGCGAUGAAGGCCUUUGGGUCGUAAAGCACUGUCGACAGGGAAGAAAACUCGGUGGAUAACACCCACCGGGCUUGACUGUACCUGUGGAGGAAGCACCG
rnacentral:rRNA from 1 species